rnacentral:lncRNA from 1 species
UUCCCACUUUCAGAGACGACGAUGAGAUCCGGAUAGGAGAGAACAUUGAGUUAGAAAUCCAGAAAGCAAUUCAAGAAUCAAAAUCAUCUAUUAUUGUGUUUUCUAAAAACUACUCUUCUUCAAGAUGGUGUCUUGAUGAACUCUUGAUGAUCAUGGAACGUAGAAGAACUGUUGGGCACUUAGUGUUCCCAGUUUUCUACGAUGUUGAUCCAUCUGAGGUGGGGAACCAAACAGGACAAUUUGGUGAAGAAUUUGCUAAGCUUGAAAUACGCUUCAAGGAUCAGAUGGAGAGGGUGGAGGGAUGGAGAAGGGCUCUUAAGGAAGCUGCGAACAUGGAAAGGAUGGUUCUGGAAGACAGGUACUGACUUCUUCUUUUUUAAUUUCUUCGAAAUUUGUUUCAUUGAUAGCUUAUAUUUUUGAAUCAGCUGAGCAUUUAGGAAUGCGUAAUUUGACCUCGAUCGUUCGAUACUCAAACAUGGCUAAGAUUUUCAAUUUUAGGCUCUAGGAGAAUGCUUAACAUCAUUGAAAUAUGACGCAUGUUGAGCCACAUAGCUAGGGUAUUGUUUUUUCUUGCUAAUCAACAUGUGAAAAGACAUUCAAUUACUUGGAACCAUGGCUUCACGAGACAAACACAGCCAACUAUCCUAGGGAAAAGAGUUCGACCAGAAUGAAAGAAAUCUUGCAUUUUACUAGAGAAAUGAAGACAUUGAAGGGAUAUUCUUGGACAUUUCAAAGAUUAGUUCUGAGAUUAAGUAAGGAAGUGCAAACUUAGAUCGCUCAAAAUUUAUUAUUCUGGAGUUAAAAAUCACUGAAAAGUACCUUAGCAACUGUGAGCACCUUUCAAAUACCAGAUUUUUCAAAGGAUAGAAACCUUGAGAGAUUGAAUUUCCAAUUUUGUACAAGUUUCUUAUCUCUCUUACGAGUGGAAGUUGUUCAAGACUUCUUAUCUCUUAACCUUUCUAGUUGUUAAAAUAUCAAUAAGAAAGCAUGCAAUUGGGACCAAUAUAUAAUCAAGCUAUUGAAAAUGUUAGGUCGGUGAUUGAUGCCCAAACACACAACAAAACAAUUUAACGUGGCUUGGCAAUUUGCCUAUGUCCAUGGAGCAGCCAAUUUCAUUAUAUAGAGAGAAAAAUACAAUCUACAACAAUGAAGGAGGAGGAACACCUCACUCAACUCCCUCUCUUCGUAAUUGCCUUACAUUUCUCUUAUCCCUCUGCGCUUGCUACUGCAAGCUGCUACAUUUUACUGCUUUCUUUUGGCCCUCACACAACCUCUAUUUUAUAGUGGAAAUGGGGGAACAUCCAUCCCUCCUCCACUUAACUCUCCCACUUUAUGAUAUUUGAUAAAAAAAUUUUAGGAAACUGCAAUUUUGUUAUCUUUCCGAUUUGCUUACAAGCCUUAACUUCAAUAGUCAUGGUGCUAGACUGCUAGUAAUCUCAUUACUGAAACCUAACUCUGCCUUGAUUUCAUUACUGAAACUAUAAUCACAAACAGCGUUGUCUCUUUCAAAAAAAAGAUAAAAAAAAUGAAGUGGUCUGCAUAUGUGCACUAGUCAUUGUAGAACUCUUUCCUAAUCCAAUUGAAGUAGGGAUGAGCUAGUGUAUCAAUUACUAUUGUAGUAUUGUCUCUCCAUUCAUUAGGCAUCUUCCAAACACAUCCAUAGAAUUCUUCUUGCUUGCUUCAUUUUCUCUAAAUUAUUGAUAAUUGUGUGACAUGUUUAUCCAUAACUUAAUAACACCACCAUCUAACUUAAAAGUUAUUUAAACAGAAACUGGAACUGAGGACGAUAAACAAGGGCUGGUUUGUUAGAUUAGCCUCAAGUCAAAUGUAAUUAUUUUUGUUUUUCAUGCUUUUUCGAAAAAGCCGACCAAAUACAUUCAAUCCUACCAUUAGGAUUACUUAAACAUUCUGAUGGUAUAUCCAUCGCAAACACCACUGCUAGAAAUCAUGGUAUCACCUCAUGCUGGCCAUUUAUUUAUCGUAUAUAUAAGCUAAGCUGGUGAAGUUGCAUAAGGACAGCCAUAAAACUAGAACUAACUGAAACAAAAGCUCAAAACAGGCUAAAUUGUAAUGAUCAUGGAUGCUUGGAGGGCACAUUUUGCUGCCCAUAUUUUACCAUUUGGGUUCAUCUGAAGUUAGGAACCAGGAAGGGAGAUAUCAUGAAGCGUUUUCGUCACACGAGCAAGGCUUCCAGGUUGAGAUGGAGAGGGUGGAAGAGUGAAGGGCAGCUCUUAGAGAAGCUGCAGAUGGCAGGGAUGGUUCUACAGAACUGGUUCGUCAUAUUCCUGUUUCCUCCUGAUUCUAGUAAUACCUAGGCAACACAAGUUAAGGAAGACGUUCUUUUUAGGUAAUAAACUUUUAAGCAGGCAAGGACAGAGCAAUUUAUUUUCAGGAGCAAUCCUAGUUCUUAAGCAUUCUGAAUUAGACAAUCUAAUCAUUGGUCAAAAGCUCCCUACAGGUUAGCACCAAAGGAUGAACACAAUCAGCCUAGAAAAAAUUGAAAUAAAGAAAGCUUGAGACCAAAAACCCAAUCCCAAACUACAGGAGCAAUCUGAUGCUUGUAUUUGACAAGUAUCCACAAGAUCUACCCUAUCAGGACGGAUCAUAGGCCGUACAGGCUUUGGUAUUGGUAAUUCCUAGGCAUAGCUUCUCUUUCCCUUUUGUUUUGUCGGUAUCUCAUGGAGAAAUUAGUAGUUGGGCCUUCUAUAGUGUCAAAAUAAAAAUUACCGGCCUCAAACGGGUAAAAAAAGAUUCUGGCCGGGAAAAGAAUUUUAAUUUUAAAAGCGCAAAAUGGUUUUAUGUGUUCAAAUUAUGUGUUUUUUUUUACUUAAAAAUAUAUAUAAAAAAUUUAAGCUUGAUAAGAUUUUUAGUAUCAGAUUAAUUUUGGUUUUUGAAGUGGUUUUCUACUUUUUUUGAAGGUCAAAGAUUAGUUUGAUAAGAUUUUUAGAUUGUUUUCUAGGUGUUUUAGAUAAAAAAAAUAAGUUGAAAAUAGGUUUUUAGAAGGAGAAAACAACAACUUUUUUUUUUGAAUCAUUAGGGAAUUUUAGAUGAUAUGUUGUCUAUUUUUUUCAACAAAAACUCAUUCGCUCCGUUAACUUAAAAAAGAAUAAAGACUCGUGUAUGUGGGCUUGUCAUCCACCUCAUUCACAUAAAAAAAAAUUAAGAGUUGCGCUCAGGGCCUAACCUUGUAGGUCUAUGUUGGGCCCUUUUUUCAUGGGCCGGAUACUUGGCUUGUUGCUUACUAAGCCCAUCAACGUCUUGAUUGUUUUGUUUUUAAUUUUGUUUUUUAAUUAAAAAAAUUUUUAAAAUGAUUUUUUAAAUUUGUGUUUUACUUUUAUUUUCUUUUUUUUAUAUAGCCUUUUUUUAAAUAGAAAUUAUUUUUUAAUUAUAUUGGAUGUGUUUAAUUUUUAAAGGGGUUGAUAAUGUAAUUUUUUUUAAUAUUUUAUUUUUAAAUUUGUUUUAAAAAUGAAAAAUAUUUAUUUUUAUAAUAUUUUAAUGUACAGCCUUGCAUAAUAUUUAUUUUUUUUAUUUUAUUCAAUAAAUUUUAUGUGUGUGUUGAUUUCUAUUACAAAUUGAUUUUAAUAAAUAAAUUCAUCAAACACAACCAUGUAAAUAACUCGUUAAAUAUAUUUGUCUUGAUUUUUCAAUUUUAUUUUUAUUUAUUGUUAAUGACUUUUGUAUCAUUUAUUUACACAACUAUUCUUGAUUUAUUUAAUUCAAUAUGUGCAUAAGUUUCUCGAUUUAUAUUUAGAAAUUUUUUAUGUAAAAAACAUGUUGAAGAAUUUUACAUGUUUAUUUUUUUUUAUCAUAUAUUGAUGUUUUCAAUUUGAUUUUUAUUCUUUGGAUUUGUGAUUUUUUUCUCGACCCUUUUAUUGUUUUUAAUUUCACCAUUCAAUUUAAGUUAAUGCAUUUUUUUUCUAUUUCGAUUUUCAUUCUUUUGAUUUUUUUUCUUUUGUUAAUAUUUUUAUUCUUUUCAAUUUAACUUUCAAAUGGAUAAAUUGUUGUUGCCCUUUAAUUUAUUUUUUAAUUUUCAUCUUAACCCUUAUUUUUUUAAUUGCUAUUUUUUUAAAAAAAUUUGUGUAAUUUUUUUUUUGAUUUCAUCAUUUAACGUUUCAUUUACAAGGGAUUGAGCUUCAUAAUUCUUUUUUGUAUAGUGUUUUUAAUCAGAGAACUCGGGUUAUGUACUUGAAAAGUUAACUGGGGUUGAUAUUUUUUUUUCUUAUUUUCUUUUUUGAUAUCAAAUGUAAAUCCAAAAUAAAUUUAAAAAUUAUUUAAAAAGCAAAUAAAAAAGUAUUAUAAAAAAAUGAAGCUAAGUACUGCAGGGCUUGGGAAGCCGAGCCAUGUGUUUGACACAUCAAGAAAGGGCCUGUGCGUGGGCCUGCAAGGUCGGACACACUAGCACUAGCCUUUAAUUUAUUUUUUUUAAGUUAAUGCGGCAAGUGACAUGUCAUUUAACCCUUUUUUUUUUUAAAAAAAACGACGCUUUGUUUGAAACUCAGAUUUUGACUACUGUGAUACACUAGAAAAAUAGUGUUUCAUCUCGAAUCCCAUUUUCAUCAUUUUUUUUAAUACAAAACACCUAUGUAACACUCUAGGAACCUUUUAGAAACCCUGUUAAACUAAUUUAUGGUUUAAAAAAACACUAAAAGUUGCUAUAAAAUUCAAAAUCAACAUGAAAUAAAAAAUAUAUAUUUCUGAGCUCAAAUAUUUUUUAGGUGCUUUUAAGGUAAAAAAAAAAGCACAAUUAUUUUGGUAGUUAAAACCAUCACCAUUGACAACUUUUUCGCUCUGCAUCGGAAUCUUGCAAGCUUUUCUCCUCCACAAAAAAAUAUUUUUGAGCUCGGAUAUUUUUUUGGUACUUUUAAGGUAAAAAAAACACUCAAUCUGAACUUCUGUUCUUAUAUGGAACCAUUUGACACAAGAAAAUUAAUUAUUUUGGUAGCCGAAAUUAUCACCAUUGACAACUUUCUCGCUCUGCGUCAGAAUCUUGCGAGCCCCUCUGUUCUCCAUAAAAAAAUAACUGGAAAAAAAGGAGGAAAUUGAAGUUUUAAACUAAAAUUGAAUUUUUAAAAUUUAAAGGGACUAGUUAAUUAAUAGCUAAAAAUAUAAGGGAUUAAAUGAAUUUCUCAAAAACAAUUCAAAGCUAUCACCUAUUUUAUUUUUAUUUUCAUUUUAGUUCUCUAUUUCUCAAUUCAAUGCUAUCUCCCAAAAUAAUAUGCAAUUGGUUAUUAAUUGGGGCUAAAAAGGGUCUAGUGGUAAAAAAAAUUGAAACACUAAAUUGAAUUUUUUUUUUAAAUCACCAUUGAGAUCUAAAGUGACAAAAUAUAAAAUCACUGCUUUUAGUUUAUACUAUAACUAUAAUAGAUAUACAGUAGUAUUAAAAAAAUAUUUCGACUAAAAAAAGUGACUGUUGAUCUAGGUUUUGAUUUUCCGUUUGAUGGUCUACAGGCCCUGCUUCUUCAAAAGAAACCCAAUUCUAAAUCAAUAUUAAUUGGACCAAACAUAUCAAAUCUGGGCCAUGUGGGUACUAAUUUGACGUAGGAAACGAAACUUCCUUAACUGUUCGAAAAAAACCCUUUCUCCUUUCUCGUUCUUCCACUUCCAGUUACCAGCAGUCUGACGGAUCACGCCCUGAAAAUCCUCCCAGCGUUGCCGUUUCACUCCAUUCCCAUCGGAAACUUCCAUCCUUCUAGUUUCGGCAUCAUGAAUUCACCAACCAGUCCAAUGGCUUUGUUCCCAGUUAUCAUUCUCUUGAUGCUUUUCCUUUCUGGAAAGGCUAAUGAUGUUUUCUUGAGUUUUAACCACCAAGAAAUUGGCAAGAAUUUUGCCGAUCAUCUCUACAAAGACCUCAAUUAUGCUGGGAUUCGCACUUUUAGAGACGAUGGUGGAAUUUACACAGGACAAAAGUCUGAUGUCAAGAGAGCGAUACAGGAAUCCAGGAUAUCGGUUGUUGUGUUUUCUAAAGACUAUGCUUCUUCAACAAAGUGCCUGGACCAGCUUGGGCUCAUCAUGGAUGCUAGGAGAACAACUGGGCUCGUUGUGCUUCCCGUUUUUUACAACGCUGAUCCGUCGGAGGUCUGGGAACAGAAAGGGUUGUUUGAAGAAGCAUUUGCUAAACACGAAAAAAGCUUCCAUAAGGAGAUGGCUAGAGUGGAAAGUUGGAGGGCCGCUCUUAAAGAAGCUGCAGACCUGAAAGGAAAGGAGCGGAAACAAGACAGGUAUAUAACUAAUUCCUUUCCAAGCUGUUACGUGUUCAUCAAAGUCCAGAGAAUACAGGCUUAGAGAGCUUUUUUUCUUUUUUAACAGAACAAUUAACAUCGCUAAUUCGAACAGGAAGAAUUCCAUUUGUAGGGAACAAAUUAAAAAACUGAAGGUUUUUAUACAUACAUGAAUGGUAAAGGUUAAACGUAGAACAAUUAUAUUAGAGUAAUUGAAUUUCACUUUCCAAUUUCUUAAAGACUUUAAUUUCUUCUUUUUUCCUUAAAAAUUUAUUACAUCGAUAGCUUAUAUUUUUGAAUCAGCUAAGCAUUUAGGAAUACUUAAUUUGACCUUGAUCAUUCCAUACUUGAACAUCACUGUUGAGCCACAUAGCUAGGGGGUUUUUUUUCGUGCUAGUUAACAUGUGAGAAGACAUUCAAUUACCUGGAAUCGUGAUUGCACGAGACUAAUGUAGCCAACUAUCCCAGGGGAAAAGAGUUUGACGAGAAUGAAAGAAAUCUUGCAACUUGCUAGAGAAAUGAAGACAUUGAAGGGAUGUUGUUGGACAUUUCAAAAAUUAGUUUUGAAAGUAAAUUAAAUUGCAGAGUCUUUGCAAGGAAAUCCAAACUUAGAUUGCUCAAGAUUUAUAAUUCUGGAGUUAAAAAUAAGUGUAAAGUGCACCUUCCUCAUGGCUGGCGUCAACUUCCUUUCUUAGGAGAUGAGAUAUCUGCGUUGGGAUGAAUAAUUGUUUUGACCUGAGAUGUUUGCAUUCCAGUUUUUGUCUGGAGAAAUUUAAACUAGCUAUUAUCUAGAAACGAAACAAGAAUCUUAUCGAUUUAAAAUAUGCCAGCCUUAGCAAUUGUGAGACCCUUUCCAUGCCAGAUUUUCUCAAACGCUAGAAAUUAACCUUGAGAGAUUGAAUCUUCAAUUUUGUUGUACAAGUUUAAUAUGGUCAAGGUUACUUCACCGAUUCAAUAUCGGGACAAGCUUAUUGAUUUGGAUCCAAGAAACUGCACAUGCCUUAUCUCUCUUCCGAGUAGAUUUUGUUAAAGAUUUCCCAUCUCUUAACCUUUCUAGUUGUUCAAAUGUCAAUAAACAGCAUGCAGUUGGUACCAACAUAUUGAUCAAAACGAUGCCUUAACUUCAAUUGCCAUGGUGCUAGACUGCUAGUAAUCUUAGUUAACUGUCUGUUUUAUGUCCAGAACCUGUGGCUGUGUUUGGUAUGACGGAUAGAGAAAGGGUGUUUUGAUAACCCUUUUCUUUUCGUGAAGCAAAAACAUUGAAGACAUUCUAGAAAUGCCAAAAAAUAAACGAAAGAAACCUAACUCUGCCUUGAUUUCAUUACUGAAGCUUUAAUCACUAGCGUUUCUGUGUCUUUUUCAAAGAAAGAAAAAAAAGGUGUUCUGCACAAGUGCACUGGUCGAUGUAGAACUCUCUCUCCUAAGCCAUUUGAAGUAGCGAUGAGCCAGUGAAUCAAUUGCUACUGCAGUAUUGUAUCUCCAUUCAUUAGGCAUAUUCGAAACACAUGCAUGGAAUUCUUCUUGCUUGCUUCAGCAUCUCUAAAUUACUGAUAUUGUAUGACUCGUUUAUCCAUAUUUAACUAUCAUGGCCAUUCAGCUUACAAGUUAUUUAAACAAUAACGGGAUCUGAGGAUGAUAAACAAGGGCUGGUUCGUUAACCAGCCUCAAUUCAAAUGUAAUUAUUUUUGUUUUUCAUGUUCUUUUUGAAAAGACCGACCAAGCACAUUUCAAUCCUGCUCUUAGGAUUGUGCAUUGAAAAUUUCUGAUGGUAUCACCUCAUGCUGGACAUUUAAUCAUCAUCAUAUAUAGUCUGGUUAAGUUGGCACAAGGACAGCGAUUAAACUAGAACAAACUGAAACAACAGCUAAAAAAUGACUUUCAAGUUUCAAGCUAGAGAACGCCUUUAAAUCCCCCACGACAGCAUCCAUGAACUCUCAUUUUUGUUUACCCUGUAUUUAGUUAAAAAAAGAUGAUUCAUGGAAACGUAGGUCAUCUUUUUAUCACUCGGGCUAUCUACAAAGCAUUCUCUGAAGAACUUAAUUUGUUCACAAUUUGAUUUGUUCUUGGUUCGAGCUGCCUUGAUCAUCAUGUUAAAAGGUUAGACAUAGGGAUGGAUAUCUCUGAGAUGUUUGCCUUGUAAUUAAAUUUUGAUCGGAACCCUUUUUGAGCCUGAACUUGAGCUAUCAUCUAGCAAGGUUAAGCAAGUCUGGCAAGGAGACCAGAAUCUUGGCAGUUUAAAAAGGUCAACCGUAAUAAUUCUAGACCUGCAGAGGAUAGAAGAAACCUUGAGACUUGGAUUUUGUACAAGUUAAUUUGGUCGUGUUUCUUAAUUUGUCAAUUCAGCAUCCACCCAUUUGCAUCGAUGUAUUCCAAGCUGAAUUUUUUUGUAGUAUGUCUCUUCUUCUUCUUCUUCUUCUUCUUCUUCUUGUAUGUUGAUCUGAUGAGGAAUUAGGAAAUUAAUCCGUGAUUUAAUUUGUAUGAAUGUGUGUUUGCAGGUAUGAGUCAAAGUUCAUAGAGUCGAUUGUUAAAGAGAUCGCAGAUAAACUCAACUUCUCACUGCCUCACGCCCCUCCGUCCUCGUUACCACUGUCGUCGGCCCUCCGCCCACCUUCAUAUUUUCUUUGUCUUUUACGAGAGUGGAGGUCUUUCUUUCAGACCUCCUCUCUCUUUUUAUUUUUUUGACCUCCUCUCUUUUUUCUGUAGUUGUACUACAGAAAAAAGAGAGGAGACAAAAAAAAAUAAAAAGAGAGGAGGGGCGGUGGGGGUAAAGCAGAAGUGUGAAUCAAUAGGAACUAAGCACGUGGAUACCUGUCGGCUGAUGAGAACGAAAGGCUGAAAAGAAAGGUCCCACAGCGCACCGACUUUGUCAAAGCAUAGAUGGAUGAAUUAAUUAAAGGAUUGUACUUCAAUGAAUGCUUCUCUCUCUCCUUUUUGUUUUUUUUGACAAUUUGUAUCUUUGGAUCGAUCCUUAUGACAGUUAACUUUUUCAAGAAUUUUCAGCUCAAAAUGAGAUGAUCAGAUGCAUAAUUAAGUCUAAGUGAUCUUUUGACAUAUGACUGCUACAAGUAAGUGCAUGCUUAGGGUUCUUCUCAAUUAUAUUCUUGCUAAAUUUUUAAUUUGUUUUUUAACACUUGAGAAUAACAAUACAAAAGAAAAAAGUUUUUCGAAGUAUGAAUCUUAAAACUGAAAAAAAGUAUAUCAAUGAAAAAACAAGCUUUUUUAAUCAACAAACUUACCAUUGAUUUUAUAAAUACCGCGCAUACAACAAUAGAAAAAAAUUCAUAACAUAAGAUGUGCAAUCAAAGAUUAAUUAAUGUAAAAGUCAUGAUUAGGAUUAUAAGUUAAUUUUCAAUGCUUGAAAAGGUGUGUAUUUUCGGGUGUCAUGAUUUUCUAACAUAGAAAUGAAAAUAUAUUGUUUGUGUUUAAUAAAAUAAAUUAAAAAAAUAUAUGAACCAACAAAUAAAAAAUAAUUAUUAAAGUUAAUUAAAUAUUAAAGUGAAAAGCUGAUAAUUCUAGUAGAGUAAAAAUUAAAUACAGAUAUAAAUAUUUAACCCUGAUUGUCCUUUGUAUUUUAUAUAUUUUUAUUUAUUAUAUAUUAAAAGUUGAUUCUAGCAGUUAAGGAUAAUUUUUUUUUUAAAAAAAUACAUCACAUAAAUAUAAUUUAUUUAUAUAAACUAUAAAAUGAAAAAAAAAUUACAAUUAUCUCCUUAAAGCAUUAUAAAUAUUUUUUAAAAAAACUGUUAAAAAUAUGAAAAAGGUUAACCAAACAAUUUUAAAAAAAAUAAGAGAUAAAGUAUUCAUUAAAAUUUAAAUAGAAGCAUUAAUUAAAAGUUAAAAAAUGAGUUCAGUAUACUGCUAGGACCUUAUAGUCUAGGUCCAUGCAUUUUAUUUUUUUUGGUUUUAGAUGGUGUCAUUUGCUCCAAUUAUUUUCUUGAGAGGGUGAAAUUGGGAUUAAAAAAUUUCAAUGACGAGAAUGCAAGAAACAAAAUGGGUUUCACACUGUUCAUAUACUAAAACAAAAUGGGAUUUCACUGUAUAUGAACUGAACAGUGAAAUCCCAUUUUGUUUUAGCAUAUGCAACAAUAAUUUCUAUUAUCAUCAUGUCCAAUUCAACUUCAAGCAUUGAUGCACUUUUCCUGUUAGAAAUUAUCAACUCUGUCCCUUCAAGUAUGAUAAAAUGUUGCUUCAUGGUUUCUCACCAUCUCUGCAUAUUGGUUUGUGCUAAACAUAACAUGGUACAGAGUGAGAGAAGAACAAUUAUCAAUAUUAAAAGAUUGCAUAUCAAAUCUCCACACUGGAAACCACUUGCUCACAACAUUUGUGAUCCCUGCAGCUUCAAUGGCAUGAUUGAUCUUGGGAACAGUUGGCUUAUUAUCAACAAAAUGAGAGCUAAGCAAUGCAUCUUCGAAACAAGAAAUUUACACAAAAGAAAAACAUUUCAGCUGAUAAACACAUAUAAAGAUCUUUUCCAAGAAAGCUUACUAUCAAAAAUCUGAAAAAAAGCAUAAUGUUGGAUUAUCAAUCAAUGAAGUUCCAUAGAGAACAAUUGCAGCAAAUCCCCCUUGCAAUGAUAUGAGAAACAAAUAACAUUCUUCAAGUUUCAACAGGUUUUACUGCAAGAGAUUGAAGGCAAUGCAAGAAGCCUGUGUACACAGAUACAAAAUCCAUUCACAAAAAAUCUUUCAUCGUGCAUGGAUAAGCCAUCAACGAAGCUAUAAACAGUAUUGGCAUCUUGGAAAGAUACAGAGAUACCAACCACCUGUUAUGAAACCCAACCUAUAGAAACAUUUUUCUUAAAAACGAGAAAUGCAAGAAAUCUGAUAAAAAGAAUCCAAAUUCUCACUACAAGAAAUAUGAUUUGUGUGUGAGGAAAAGAAGUGAAACCUGGAAAGUUAAUGAUUUAGAGUGUAGAAACUUCUGAAAAAAUCAUUUCAUUUUACUAAUAUUUUCUUCAUUGUUAAAAAGUGCUUGUGGUGAUUGCUCUUGUAGAUAUUCGUGACUUGAAUGGAUCCAAGUUAUUCAUAUCAAGUCCUUGAAAUUUCUGGAGGUUUUAUAGCUUUUCGUUAUGUUUAUAAGGUGCUUCCUCGCUCCUAUUGUUCUCUCUUUUUCGCUAUGGAUUAACCCAACUUUUUUCAUCUUAUUCCACUAUGAAAUUUGUUUUUACUGCAGUUCAUCCUUUUGCAGUGUUACAUCUAUAUUCUCUUCUUCCAAGGCGACAUGGCAGCUCCCCUGUCAUGUCUUCCUGCUUUUAACUAUCACUCAAACUCCACAUGUAUUCGUGUACUGCAAGGAAAAGGCAUACCAAACCUUCAAAAUAAAAUAAAAUCUGGUGCAAGGACAAAAAAGAAUUCUGAGGCAAAACAUGCCAUUAACCCAUUUUUAAUGGGUUAAAAGCAUAAAUCCAUAAAUAGAAUCCCAACUUUUUUCUUCGAUAAAUGGUAUAUGAUAUCUUUACAAAUUUGCCACCAACAAUCCACAAAUACUUUGUUCAUAAGAAAACAGAACCAUUUUUCAUUCACUAACGAUUAGAGAGACAAGGUUUCAUGCAUUCCUGGAAUUGUUAAGGCCAAGCAUCUCAGGCUAGCUCUUGAAUUUCAAACAUGACCACAACAUGAUAUACAGUAAAUUGCAACUCAAUCAUCUUAGCUGAAUAAUCUGUAAUUGACUAACAUGCAUCUAAAGGGUAUAUGAAGUUGAAUUAGACCGCAUGCAAGCUCUAAUACCAGAAAUCCUGAAUAGCAACAUCAUUAGACUUAGAUACACAACCAACAUCAUUAAUCGACGCAGCUAACUAAUAGAAACAUGCUAGUAAAUUAAUCGCGCCACCAAUCUGAGAAAAUACAUUAAGGCUUAAUUGGAUGAUGGUAAGGAAUAGAUAGCGUGCAAGCUACAUGCAUUCUUGAGAGUAAGGGCUCGAACAAGGCUUAAGCAGAUGCUCCUAUAGAAAAUGCCAAAAAUGAAUUCAAUAAUUAGUUGCAAUUAAGAAAUCGAUUACUUCCUCUUCUUCAUUGAUUCAAGUAAUGCUUGAAAAUGUUGAAUCAUACCAGUGAACAUAAGCAACCACUUCCUCUGGUUAUGAGUGAUCACAUCACUCUAUAUAGCCAACUAAGACCCCCACAUCCUUCUAUUGUAUGGUUCACUACUCUUCAUCUUUCUUUACAAGAAACUUUUGCAAUAGGACUGUAUUCAACUAUAUCAAUUAUUAAUGUGCAAUAUACUCGAACAUUUCACCUUCCCUUUUCUUCUCAUACAAAUUAUGCAAUACCUCUGGUUAAAAUAGAAAAAAAUGUAUACCUCUGCGGUGAAUUCGAUAUUGUAAUAUCCGAUCCAAAUCUUUUCUAUUGUAUCUGAACUCGAGUAAUAUAUUGUUCAACUUGGACCAGCUCUGCGCAUCAUAUGGUUUAACUUAAAAUAAUCUUUACUCGGUUGGUUUAAUGCAAAGUAAUUUGAAAGAUAUUAAAAACUUCAAAUUGAGAUUAUUCAAAGGGAGGAUCCUAAAUGGAAGCCUUCUCUCUUAUCUGCCAUUUCUUAAAUUAAAUUCAAUGGCCGCUUCGGAUAUGAUCUCAAACUGAUUUGGAAUGGCUUUAUUAUUGCCAGUAAUAGUAGGCAAAUAACUCUGAGAUUGACUUGAUGCGUUGUCAACAUUUCCAUCUUGUCUAUUCCUUUUCAAAGGAUUCUAUAAUCUCUGCAAUGGUAACAUUAUUUUGUAGAGUAGAAUCUCCAGCUACAACCUUAUUGUUUUUGGACUGGUAGAAAACUCAGGAGGAACAGAACAGAUGUUCAUUUCCAUCAUAUCAGUACAACUUAGUGGUAACGUUUUCCCAACUAAGCAUUCCCAAAUUUAUUUCAAAACAAACCAAAAAUAGCAGCAACCUUCCCCGUCCUCUGCCUGCCAAGCUCUUGAAUCAGAAACUGUAUUUCCUUCUUGCAAAACAAAAUAACUUAAAAAGGGCAUCAAAAUCCAACCGUGAGACUGCCAUUGCCAACAUAAGAUCAAGCUGGCAUUUAAUGAGCCUCCAUACGUUAAGGAAAAACUUACCUGCAAAUUACAAAAAGCAUGUACCUAGUACAUCACAACAGGUUCUCUCCUUAUUACUAGUGUCUUUGACUGCUAAAUUUAUGAAGUACAUAUCAGAAUAGACCUUAAAUAGAUCCGAGUGACUAACCCGAACAAACUCAAAGCUAUGAGUUACAAUAUAUUUUUACUUUGAAGCAUGCUAGAGCUAUCUUAUGAUAUACAGAUACGGUAUAUGGUGUUAGUGAGAGAAUGUGAUUUGUGAGUGGUAUUUUUUGAAAAUAUCUCCGUGAGGUGAAAUAAAUGCUUUCUUCUACAUAAAUUAUAUUUUUCAAAUCAUAUUUUUUUAAUUAACUAGAAUUCCAAGUUGACCAGGGAAUUAUUGUCUGAUGACCAAUUUUAUAAUGGCUGCUAUAUUUAUCUUGUAAAUCCCAAAAAACAAAUUGUGCUAAUCAGGUAUUUAGAAAUAAAAUGGAUCCAAAUUGUAUAGAUACGAGGAUAUGUUUUUUUCAUUUUAUUUAGUUAGUGUUUUAUAACAGAAAAGAUAAAAAAUAUAUUUAAUUGAAAAAACAUGAAUAAAAAUAAAAAUAAAUCUACUCUAAGAUAAUUUUGAAAUAAAUUAUAUACUUUCAAAACAAAAAAUACAUAAAAAUAUGUCGCAUUUAUCCACUAUCUCCAUCUUUUCUAUUUUGAGACAGUAAUCAAAUACUACUACAAUUUAGACAUUGAGAAGUAAAGCUAGGGUUAGAUGAUUUAUAAUAUGUAGGAAGUUAAUAUUAAAAGUUUUAUUCAAAGAAUUGACAACACUACUACUAAGAUAUAGAAGAUAAUAGGUUAGUGUUUGAUUAUUGUCCCGGAACAAAAAAGAUAGAGACAAUGAUAAUAGAGGAAAGAAGAUAGAAUAAGAGAUAAAGAUAAAAUUAUAUUUGAUAGUAGCAUACAAGACUACCUUUAUAUCUUAUUUUGUUGAUUGUAAACAAGACAUAAUAAAAUAUAAAAACUCUAUUUUAUUUUUAAUAUGUAUUAUUGUCAAAUUACAUAUUUUUAAAAAAUAAUUAGAUAGUAUUAUAAUUUUUUUAGUUUAUAUUGAAAGUUGAAAUUAAUAAUAGAAUAAUAACUUUAGUUAUAUAACUUAGAUUGGCUCAGUGUGUUGAACUAGGACUCGGCUGACCCAAAGCCUAAACCAGUAUGAAUUUAAAAAAAAAAUAGAGGAAAGGUUAACCCAACUUGAUCGGGUUAAAACUCAAGUUGACCUAUGACUCGAGAUAAACCCAAGUAAAAAACCCUUGACUUUAUUUUGAAAAAAAAUAUUUGGUCAAAAUGACAUCGUUCUGAUCCUUUGUUUUAAAAUAUUAGGAUUAUUCUAGGUUGAUCUUCUCGAUUCAUGACCUGAUUCAACCACUAGGUCAAAUUUUAAAAUUAUAACAAUAAUUAUUUUUUAUUAUUAUAUAUUUUAGUUGGAUCAUUUUAGAAUUAAAAGUUUUUUCUAGUGGUAUUUUAAGAAUAAAAAAUAUUAUCUUUAAAGAUAUAUCUCCAUGUAUCUUUUAUUUGAAAAAUACAAAAAAUUAUUUUUAAAUUAUUUCAUAAUAUAUUUAUUAUCUAUGUUCUUUAAAUCAAACAUAUUUAAGACCAUCUGUUUCUUUAAUUUCUCUGACAGUAACCAAAUGCCACGGUAUUAUAAUUUUUUUUUUAUGUGAAUGGAAAGAACUACUAAUAACAGGAAGUACCUAUUUUCUAAAUAUUUCAAAAGCAUACAUUAUUUAAUUGCUUGAGGAAAUGUAUAUCAUUCGUAAAAGGGCUCAACCUCAACUUUAUUUAACUUGAACACAACGGAUUUCGGGCUGGAUGUUGAGCAAUAAAACCAAGCGAAGCCACACAGAGAGCCCAAACUAGCCCAAGUUACCGCAACCAAGCGUAGAUCACAUACAACCAAGCUUGUUCCAUAGACUAGGCAACCGAAAGUGUGAUGCUCUUAAAAAAAUUGUUGAAGAUAAAAAUGGUAUUAGAUAUUUAAUAUGCAACUAUAUAUUUUUUUUUAUAAUUGAAAAAUAUUAUUAUCUUUUUUUUUUGGUUAAAAGAAAGAAUUCCCUGAUUAAAUAAUAAAACAAUUUUUUUUAAAAAAAAGAUUUUGCAAAAAUAAUUUUAAAUAAGUUUAAUCGCAUAGAUUUUCUCAACCAUUUAAUUCUUAGUUUGUUUUCAGAUAAAAGUAUAUUAUCAUUUAUUUUUGUGCUUAUAACUGUAUUUGAUUAUAUUUUAAAAAUUUAUUUUGCUUGAAAAUAUAUUAAAUUAAUAUUUUUUAAUUAUUUUAAUAUAUUCAAAAAAAAUUAAAAAAAAAAUCAUGCAAUACAAUAACCCUCCAAAGUCAAAGAAAGUAAUAAAAAAAAAGAGAGAGAGAAACUUCCCGAGACCUUCAGCUCAAGACUUUCCCUUCCAUUCUACAGCCCUCUUUUUUCUCUUGCUUGAUGGAAUGGAGCACCAGGCAGCUAGGCACCACCCAACCAAGGAAAAUAAAAUAGAAAAAGCAUCUGACAGAAUAUCCAGUAUAAAAAAUAAAGAAAAGGAAACUUCCUGAGAACUUCGGCCAUACACUUUCCCUUCCAUUUUUGCAGUCGUUUUUCUCUUGCUUAGUUCUUCUACCUUUUGCUGGUUCACACACUUGAAGUUGAAGCUAAUCCUCCAAAGUCAAACGUUGCCUUUUCAGUGGCAAAUUCCACAACAGAAUUCGAUUUUCUUAUCCUCCUUUUUGAUCUUUCACGUAUUCUAUUCAUCAACCUUAUGGGUUUCUUCUCAUUCAUCCGUCGCUUGAUGCUUAUUCUCUUUGGCACGGCUAAUGAUCUUGUGUUCUUGAGCUUUAGCAAUGAAGAUACAGGAAAGAAUUUUAGUGAUCAUCUCAACUCAGCUCUCACCAUUGCAGGAUUUCGCACGUUUAAAAACGAUGAUGGCGUUCGAAGAGGAGAAAAUACCGGCUCAGAAACCAGAAAAGCAAUACAGGAAUCGAAGAUAUCUGUCAUUGUGUUUUCCAAGGACUAUGCUUCUUCAACACGGUGCCUCGACGAGCUCGUCAUGAUCAUGGAUGCCAGGAGAGCUACUGGGCACAUUGUGCUGCCCAUAUUUUACCAUUUGGAUCCAUCUGAAGUCAGGAGCCAGGAAGGGAGAUGUUUCGAAGCGUUUUCUACACACGAGAAAAGCUUCCAGGGUGAGAAGGGGAGGGUGGAAGAAUGGAGGGCAGCUCUUAGAGAAGCUGCAGAUGUGGCAGGGAUGGUUCUACAAGACAGGUACAUCACAUCCCUACUCUGUUUUCUCUUGAUUCUAGUACGUCACAUCCCUUCAAUGUUUUCUCUUGAAUAAGGCUAUCUAAUCAUAUGGUCAAAAACUCAGUACAAUCAAGAAAAAAAAUUGAAAUAAAGACAGCAUAUAUAACAACAAGAACAAAAUUUCAAUCCCAAACUGAUUGGGGAUGGAUCCUUUUGGCCAUUCAAACGUGCUCGUGAAUGUGAAGUAUAUCCGGGCUUUAGAAACAAAUUCAUAGACAUGCUGUCUUGCCAGAACACAGUAAUGUGAUUUCCUUAACUUGUAAAGUUGCUGUGUUGUGUUUAUCUUAUACGUAGUAGGCUGUAUUUGACACUUCUCCGAAACUGAUACGAGAAUAUUUUUCAAAUAGCCGUAGUUCCUAGCUGCUCCUUGCCUUCGGUUUUGUCAAAGAUAAAUUAGUAGUGGGGCCUUCCAUCAUGUCAAAAUAAAACCAAGACUUAUGGGCCUAAAAUGUGUCCUUUUUUUUCCUUCUAAAAGGAUUCUGGGCCGGGAAUGGAUCCUUAAUUUAGAAACCAAUGGUCCAUGAUAAUUUAUUCUCCUCUCGGUCUUCGUCUCUCUUGGUCUGCCAUAUCAACACCAUAAACCAGUAAAGUUCCAACUGCGUUGACUUGAGUCUAAAAAGUCAUCAAUUCACCAACCGAUUCCAAGAUUUCCCAUUUCACUGUUUUCCUCACAUUAAAUUUUUCAUCCAUUCUUCUCUCCAAAAUGCAUUACGAAGUGUUCUUGAGCUUUAGAGGCGAAAACACCCGUCGAAGUUUUACGGACCAUCUCUACACAGCUCUAUGUAGAGCAGAGAUUCGCGCUUUCAGAGACGACGAUGGGAUCCGGAGAGGAGAGAACAUUGAUUUAGAAAUCAAGAAAGCAAUUCAAGAAACAAAACUAUCCAUUAUUGUGUUUUCUAAAGACUACGCUUCUUCGAGAUGGUGUCUUGACGAGCUAGCGAUGAUCAUGGAACGUAGAAGAGCUGUUGGGCACAUAGUGUUUCCAGUUUUCUAUGAUGUUGAUCCAUCUGAGGUGGGGACCCAAACAGGGAGAUAUGGUGAAGCUUUUGCUAAGCAUCAGAUACGUUUCAAGGACCAGAUGGAGAGGGUGGAGGGGUGGAGGAAGGCUCUUAAAGAAGUUGCAUACAUGGAAGGAAUGGUCUUAGAAGACGGGUACUAACUUUUUUUUUUCUUCGAAAUUUAUUACAUCGAUAGCUUAUAUUUUUGAAUCAGCUAAGCAUUUAGGAAUACUUAAUUUGAGCUUGAUCAUUCCAUACUCGAACAUCUUGCCAUUUACUUGAAAAUGAAGACAUUCACUUACCUGGAACAGUGAUUGCCAACUAUCCUAGGGGAAAAGCGUUUGACGAGAAUGAAAGAAGUCUUGCAACUUACUAGAUAAAUGAAGACAUUGAAGGGAUGUUGUUGGACAUUUCAAAAAUUAGUUUUGAAAGUAAAUUAAAUUCCAGAGUCUUUGCAAGGAAAUCCAAACUUAGAUUGCUCAGGAUUUAUAACUCUGGAGUUAAAAAUAACUGAAAAGUGCACCUUCCUCAUGGCUGGCGUCAAGUUCCUUUCUUAGGAGAUGAGAUAUCUGCAUUGGGAUGAAUAAUUGUUUUGACCUUUGAGAUCUUUGCAUUCCUUUUUUUGUCUGGAGAAACGAAACAAGAAUCUUAUCGAUUUAAAAUAUGCCAGCCUCAGCAAUUGUGAGCGCCCUUCCAUGCCAGAUUUUUUCAAAGGCUAGAAAUUAACCUUGAGAGAUUGAAUUCUCAAUAUUGUUGUACAAGUUUUAUAUGGUCCAAGGUUAUUUCACCGAUUCAAUAUCGAGACAAGCUUAUUGAUUUGGAUCCGAAAAACUGCACAAGCCUUAUCUCUCUUCCGAGUAGAAUUUGUUCAAGAUUUCCCAUCUCUUAACCUUUCUAGUUGUUCACAUAUCAAUAAGAAAGCAUGCAAUUGGCACCAAUAUUUAAACAAGCUAUUGAGAACGAUGAUAUUUGACCAGAAAUUCGAAGGAAACUGCUUUUUUGUUUUGUUUCCGAUUUGCUUAGGAGUCUCAACUUCAAUUGUCACGGUGCUAGACUGCUAGUAAUCUCAGAUAACUGUCUGUUUUACGUCCAGUGCCCUGUGGUUGUGUUUGAUAUGGUGUAUAGGGAAGGGAUGUUUUGAUAACCCUUUUCUUUUCGUGAAGCAAAAAGCCAUUCUAGAAAUGCCAAAAAAUUAACAAAAGAAACCUAACUCUGCCUUGAUUUCAUUACUGAAGCUUUAAUCACUAGCGUUUCUGUGUCUUCUUCAAAGAAAGAAAGAAAAGGUGUUCUGCAUAAGUGCACUGGUCGAUUUAGAACUCUCUCUCCUAAGCCAUUUGAAGUAGCGAUGAGCCUGUGAAUCAAUUGCUACCGCAGUAUUGUCUCUCCAUUCGUUAGGCAUCUUCGAAACACGUGCAUGGAAUUCUUCUUGCUUGCUUCAGCAUCUCUAAAUUACUGAUAUUGUAUGACUUGUUUAUGCAUAUUUAACUAUCAUGGCCAUUCAGCUUACAAGUUAUUUAAACAGUAACGGGAUCUGAGGAUGAUAAACAAGGGCUGGUUCGUUAACUAGCCGCAAUUCAAAUGUAAUUAUUUUUGUUUUUCAUGUUCUUUUAGAAAAGACCGACCAAGCACAUUUCAAUCCUACUCUUAGGAUUGUGCAUUGAAAAUUUCUGAUGGUAUCACCUCAUGCUGGACAUUUAAUAUUCAUCAUAUAUAGUCUGCUUAAGUUGCACAAGGAAAGCCAUAAAACUAGAACAAGCUGAAACAACAGCUAAAAAAUGACUUUCAAGUUUCAAGCUAGAGAGCGCCUUUAAAUCCCCCACGACAGCAUCCAUGAACUCUCCUUUUUGUUUACCCUGUAUUUAGUUAAAAAAAGAUGAUUCAUGGAAACGUAGGUCAUCUUUUUAUCACUCGGGCUAUCUACAAAGCAUUCUCUGAAGAACUUAAUUUGUUCACAAUUUGAUUUGUUCUUGGUUCGAGCUGCCUUAAUCAUCAUGCUAAAAGGUUAUACAUAGGGAUGGAUAUCUCUGAGAUGUUUGCCUUGUAAUUAAAUUUUGAUCGGAACCCUUUUUGAGCCUGAACUUGAGCUAUCAUCUAGCAAGGUUACGCUAGUCUGGGAAGGAGACCAGAAUCUUGGCAGUUUUAAAAGGUCAACCGUAGCAAUUCUAGACCUGCAGAGGAUAGAAGAAACCUUGAGACUUGGAUUUUGUACAAGUUAAUUUGGUGGUGUUUCUUAAUUUGUCAAUUCAGCAUCCACCCAUUUGCAUCGAUGUAUUCCAAGCUGAAUUUUUUUGUAGUAUGUCUCUUCUUCUUCUUCUUCUUCUUCUUGUUCUUGUAUGUUGAUCUGAUGAGGAAUUAGGAAAUUAAUCCGUGAUUUAAUUUGUAUGAAUGUGUGUUUGCAGGUAUGAGUCAAAGUUCAUAGAGUCGAUUGUUAAAGAGAUCGCAGAUAAACUCAACUUCUCACUGCCUCACGCCCCUCCGUCCUCGUUACCACUGUCGGCGGCCCUCCGCCCACCUUCAUAUUUUCUUGGUCUUUUACGAGAGUGGAGGAGGUCUUUCUUUCAGACCCCCUCUCUCUUUUUAUUUUUUUUGUCUUCUUGUUAUGCUUUGUCUUCUUGUAGCAUACGAGAGUGGAGGAGGUCUUUCUUUCAGACCCCCUCUCUCUUUUUAUUUUUUUUGUCUUCUUGUUAUGCUUUGUCUUCUUGUUAUGCUGUGUCUUCUUAACUUAUUAAGAAGACAAAAAAAAUAAAAAGAGAGACGGAGGAUGUAGGGGUAUAGCAGAAGUGUGAAACAAUAGGAACUAAGCACGUGGAUAUCUGUCGGCUGAUGAGAACGAAGGCUGACAGCAUCUGGGACAGCUCACCAACUUUGUCAAAGCAUGGAUUGAUGAAUUAAUUAAAGGAUUGUACUUCAAUGAAUGCUUCUCUCUCUCUGUUUUUUUACUAUUUGUAUGUUUAGAUCCAUCCUUAUGACUGUUACUGAAAAUAAUCAAAAACUUUUUCACGAAUUUUCAGCUCAAAUGAGAUGAUGCAUAAUCAAAGUCUAAGUGAUCUUUUGACGGCUACAAGUAAGUGCAUGCUUAGGGUUCUUCUCAACUAUAUUCUUGCUAAAUUUUUAAAUUGUUUUUUAACACUACGAAAGAAUAACAAUACAAAAGAAUAUAAAAUAUUUCCAAGUAUGAAUCUUAAAACUGAAAAAACAAACUGUUAUAAUCAACGAACGUACCAUUGAUUCUAUAAAUGCCACGCACGCAAACCACAGUAGAAAAAAAACUAUGACAUGAUUUGCAAUCAAAGAUUAAUUAAUUUCCAAGUAUGAAUCUUAAAACUGAAAAAAAGUAUAUCAAUGAAAAAACAUGCUUUUUUAAUCAACAAACUUACCAUUGAUUUUAUAAAUGCCACGCAAACUACAGUAGAAAAAAAUUCAUAACAUAAGAUGUGCAAUCAAAGAUUAGUUAAUGUGUGUAUUUUCAUGGCUUAAUUUUAGAAACUUGUGUGUAUUUUCAAGAUUAGGAUUAUAAGUUAAUUUUCAAUGCUUGAAAAAGUGUGUAUUUUCGGGUGUCAUGAUUUUCUAACAUAGAAAUGAAAAUAUAUUGUUUGUGUUUAAUAAAACAAAUUAAAAAAUAUAUGAACCAACAAAUAAAAAAUAAUUAACGCUAAUUAAAUAUUAAAGUGAAAAGCUAAUAAUUCUAAGUAGAGUAAAAAUUAAAUACACAUGUAAAUAUUUAUCCCUGAUUGUCCUUUGUAUUUUAUAUAUUUUUUUUAUUAUAUAUUAAAAGUUGAUUCUAGCAGUUAAGGAUAAUUUUUUUUAAAAAAAAAUACAUUACAUAAAUAUAAUUUAUUUAUAUAAACUAUAAAAUGAAAAAAAAUAAAUUACAAUUAUCUCCUUAAAGCAGAUGUCAAUAUUAUAAAUAUAUUUUAAGGUAUCCUGAUUUUUUAACAUAGAAAUAAAAAAAUAUUAUUUACAUUUAAUAAAAUAAAUUUAAAAAAUAUAGAAACCAACAAAUCAAAAAAUAAUUAUUAAUGCUAAUUAAAUACUAAAAUGAAGAGCUAACAUUUCUAGCAAAGUAAAAGAUAAAUGAACAUGCAAACAUUUAACCCCGACUACUCUUUCUAUUUUCUAAUUUUUUAUUUAUUAUAUAUUAGAAGUUGAUUCUAGCAACUAAGGACAAUUUAUUUUUAUUUUUAUAAAUAUGUCACAUAAAUAUAAUUUAUUUAUAUAAAAUGAAAAAUGAAAAAAAUAAAUAUAAAUUACAAUAAUCUCUUUGAAGCAUUAUAAAAUUAAAAAAAUUAAUUUAAAAAAAUUAAUUACUAUUAAAAAAGGUUAACCAAACAAUUUUAAAAUAUAAUAGAUAAGAUAUUCAUUAAAAUUUAAAUAAAAACAUUAAUUAAAAGUAAAAAAAAAAGCUGAGGUCAGGCCACAUAUCUGGCUAGAACCUUAUAGCUCCACACACCUUUUUUUUUUUUGUUUUAACAGUGUCAUAUGCUCUAAUUAUUUUUUUAUAAAGGGAUGAUAGGUCGUUUUCCUCUAGAUCAGUUUCUGGUUACUUCUAGUAAUUAAAAUAUUAAAGUUUGAGUUGUGAAAUUUUAAAAACCUAUUUCUCAAUAUUUUUUUACCUGAAAAUAUCCUAAAAGCAUUUAAAAAUCAACUUUUAAUCUUAAAACAAUCUUUAAUCUCCUUAAAAAAUAAAAAUUAAACAAAUAAAAAACAUCAAACCUUUUUAUAAAAAACCUCAAGACCAGAACUUUUCCAAAAACAGCAAACCAAUUGACACUAAGAUAACUCUUUUUUGUGACUAAAAUGUUCACAUUCAGCUACUUUCUUUCUUUUUAAUUUUUUUUUUAGUGAUUUUCUCUAUCUUUUUUCAAUAUUCAGAAACUAAAAUAAAAACUAAAUUAAGUUUAAGAUCAAAAUUUAGAAUGCUAAAAUAACAAGGAUCAAACAAAGGGUUAAUUAAAAACUAUAAAGAACAUAUAUAAGUUUUCCAUUUCAAUAUCUAAAUGGGAUUUGUUUUUUUAAAAUUUAUUAUUAAAAAUUUAUUUUUAAUAUCAUUAAAUAAUAUUCAAAAUUAUCAAAACAAAUUUAACUUUUUAAAAAUUUAAUGUUUUUUAAAAAUGCAUAAAACAAACAAGAUGAGCAUAAUUUACCACAUCACUGUUCAUAUGGGCUCAACUUUGUUGGGCCAUGAGCUUAGUAGUAUAUAAUUUCUUCCAACAGUAACGACAUCUGGUAAGAAGUUCUAAGCGCAGUUGAAGCGCGUGAUAUAUGUCCUCUCGAGUAACCCAAGGUGGAGGAGCAAAGGUAUUAGUUUUUGCUCAUUGCUCGUUCGCCAAUAUUCGUGCACUUGCAGCAUGUUUGAGACCAAUUUUCUAUUAAAAUUAAUUUCAUUUCUGGUAUUUAAAUUGCAUUCAAUGAGUUAAAAUCAUGUAUUUAAAAGAGAUAUAUUAUCAUUGAAUUUAUUUUAUUCUAUUUUCUACAAUACAUUUAUAGUAUUAUUAAUUAUCAAUACUCUUUCAUUUAUAGUAAUUAAAUUUCAACAGGUUUUAUCGCAAGAUAUUGAAGGCAAUGCAAGAAGCUUGUUUACGCAUACAAAAUCCAUUCAUAGUUUCUGAUAGAGAAAAAUCUGUCAUCAUGUAUGGAUAAGCCAUCAAAGAAGCUAUAAACAGUAUCAUCAUCUCGGAAAGAUACACAGAUACCAACCACCUGUUAUCAAGUCCAACCUAUAGAAUCAUUUUCCUUAAAAACGAGAAACACAAGAAAUCUGAUAAAAAAAUCCAAAUUUUCACAUCAAGAAAUAUGAUAUGUGUGCGUGAGGAAAAGAAAUAAAACCAAGAAAACUAAUGAUCUGAGUGUAGAAACUUUUGAAACAAUCAUUUCAUUUUACUGAUAUUUUCUUCAUUGUUAAGAAGUGCUCGUGGGGAUUGCUCUCUUUGAUAUUCGUAACUUCAAUGAUACAAGUUAUUCAUAUCAAGUCUUCGAGAUUUCUUACAAUCUCAUGAAGUUUCAAGGUGACAAGGCAGCUCUUCUCCCGUCUUCUUGUUUUUAACUAAAACUCAAAACUCCACUUAUACUGUAUGGAAAAAGCAUACAAAACCUUCAAAAUAAAAUAAAUAAGCAGAAAAGGCAAGAAAACAACUGGAAGACUCUUGGGUUUUCGAGCUGCUGGCUAGAACAAGCAAAUUGUUGAUUACAGGCCAUGCAUGUCAUGAUUUUACACUUGGGCUUCUGAUAUUUCAGGGGCUUCACAACCUCCCUUGUAAAGUCAGGGUCAUCCCUUCCAAAGUGACCAUAAGCAGCUUGCUGUCCCUCCUCCUUCAUCCCUUGCUACUUGUCAAGUCCUCCGAAUUACUUUAAGAUGCCACAGCAAACAAAGAAGAGAAGGGAUGGUCCAUAAUUGAUUGCUUCCUUCUCAUUUGAAACACAAAGUCCGGAUCAAAGCUUAGAUUCAACUUCAAAAGAAGAAGAAGAAGAAGAAAUCUUCAGUUUCAACAACGCAGAUUAUGAACACUAAGCAAAAUUGGCAAAAGCCUUGGCAAAAUUCAAGAGCAGGAACAGCAGCACUGCUCUGGCUCUCUGAAACUUGGGGGCAACAUGCCAAAUACACUUAACCACUUUCAAAAUCUUUGUCCCGCCACUCCUCGGUGCAUAAUCCAUCUGUCUUUUGUUUCUCCAGAUUCUCCGAAACUUGGUAAAAAAAAGUUUGAUCAUGUGCUUGAUUUGAAGCGGAAUAUUGGUGAACCUUCAAGCUGCCCGCGGUGGCAAUGUUUCUCCGGUGACUGUAUUGUUUCUGUUCUUGAUGGAAUUGUCACUGCUCGGGUUUAGGAGCUGGAAACAGGAGAGAUUCGCCAACUGAAAUUGGCGGGAAAAGACGUCAUUAACAAACUAAAUCGAAAAAGAGAGAAAUGCGGUGAGCGUGGAUCGAACACGCGACCUUCAGAUCUUCAGUCUGACGCUCUCCCAACUGAGCUAUCCCCGCCUGUUUGUUGCUUCUUUUCUGUUAAGCAUUAUGAAGCAAUAAACUUAUUCUAUAACACAUGCAUUUUGCGAGGACAUCUGUGCAUCAUUUCUGCUUUCCGUGCUUUUGCGGUUGUUACUGGGAAAGAAUUUCACAUUAGAUUGAAUUUUCUGGUAAGUUGAAAUCUCAACUUGGCUUAUUAUUGUGGCAAUUACCAGUUAUAUAUUUCAUGUUUAAGAAAUUAGGAUGCCUGUGAUGAAGUUUACGUUAGUUUUGGGGCUGGAAUUUAUUGUAGGAAACCUGUGAUGGAAAUGAAGCAAAUCCUAGACGCUGGUGUGUGUAGCAGCUGCACUUCUUAUACCUGAAGCCAUUGGCUUUCACAAAGAAAAGAGACGUCAUGAUGAUAGAAAACCAUGGAAACACUACAAUAUUUAAUAAUUUUAUUGACAUAAUUUUAUUUUUAUUAAUGUGAGAUUAGCACUUUGUCCGCGAAAAUUUCACCUACUAAUUCAUCGACAAAAUGUGUCUACAAGUAAUUUCAUUAUGUGUCGUUAAUUUUUUUGGUAAAAAAAAUUAAAAACUGAUGGUUUUAUAAAUGAAAAAUGCACGAAAAAAAAACAAUUCUUGCUGGAAAUACACGGAUGAAAUAAAUCUCUUAGGAUAUUUUAUAAAACAUUUCUAGGAAACUGCUUUUUUGUUUUCUUUCCAGUUUGCUUACAAGCCUUAACUUCAAUGGUCGUAAUGGUCGUGGUGCUAGACUGCUAGUAAUCUCAUUACUGAAACCUAACUCUGCCUUUAUUUCAUUACUGAAACUAUAAUCACUAACAACAUGUGUCUCUUUCAAAAAAAGAUAAAAAAAAGAUAACGUGUUCUGCAAAAGCCAAUUGAAGUAGGGAUGAGCUAGUGUAUCAAUUACUAUCCAUUCUUUAGGCAUCUUCCAAACACAUCCAUAGAAUUCUUCGUGCUCGCUUCAUCAUCUCGAAAAAUAAAGUUUUAAGCCAAGAUUGAAUUUUUAAAAUUUAGAGUGAGUAGUUACCUAUUAGAUAAAAAAGAAAAGGGAUUAAAAUGAACUUUUCAAAAAAAAAUUCAAAGUCAUUACCUAUGUAUUUUACAUGUUUUUUUUACUUUUGUCACCUGUCUCUCAAUUCCACUCUCUUCAAAAAUAAAAUAAAAUAUGCAAUUGGAUGUUAACUGAUGCUAAAAAAUAAAUUCAAUAACCAAUUUUGUUUUUUUUAAUCACCGUUGAAAUCUACAGUGGCAAUGAAUAUAAAAAGUAACUGUUGAUCUAGGUUUUGAUUUUCCGCUUGAUGGACUACAGGCCCUGCUUCUUCAGAAGAAACCCAAUUCUAAAUCAAUAUUAAUCGCAUCGGAAAAUCCCAUCCUUCUACUUUCGGCGUUUCUUAUUCACCAUGGCAUCCAGUCCAAUGGGAUUUUAAAACUCAAUUUUCAUUUUCACCUGCAAAACUUAAAAAAAAAAUAUCAUAAAACCUCAUAAAGUCUAUUUUCAAACAAAAACACCAUUUAAUCAUUUAAAACUCUAAAAUCCAUGAUCAGAAAUAACUUUAUAAAAAUUAAAUUGAAAUAAAUUACAAAAUUAAUUACUAAUUAGAGAAUGAAAUUCAAAAAACAAACAAAACCAAGAAGAAUGAUUCUUUUUUUAAAAUAAAACAAAUCACGUUCAGAUGUACACAAUUAGCACUAUCAAAAUUCAAAACAGGAGACACAUAAAAAAAAAAAGCACUUUGGUCAAUAUUGAUGGCUGGGUAAACAUACGUCUCAAAUUUGGGAACCUGAACCGUUGCAUUCUUUCUUCCCUUCCAGCCUCCAGGUACCCUGCCGUUUCACUCCAUUCCCACCGGAAACUUCUAUCUUUCUCAUAUUCCAGUUUAGUUUCGGCAUUUUUUAUUCACCAAUCAGUCCAACAGGUUUGUUCUCACUUAUCAAUCUGUUGAUGCUUCUCCUCUCUAGAAAAGAUUUUUAAUUGACAAACUUAUCAUUUAUCUAAUUAUAUGGUACAUAAUUUUUUUGAUUUACAUUUAAGAUUUUUUUUAUGUACAAAAUAUAUUGAAAAAUUCUAUAUGUUUAAUUUUUUUCUAUUAUGUAUGGAUAUUUUCAAUUUGAUUUUAAUUUCUAUAAAACAAAUAAAAAUUAUUAAUUAAAAAAAUCAAAAUAAAAAAAAUAAAACUAAACACUGGUGAACUUGAUAAGUCAAGCUAUGUGCCUGACACAUUAAGAAAAGACUCACGCGUAAAUGAAGAAAAGACUCACGCGUGGACCGGAAAGGUCAGGGACGCAUGAGUGUGGGCUCUCUUUUCUACAAAACGACGCUUUGUUGAUGGUGCUGCAGCAGCAAGAGAGGCAUAUAACCAAGGAGAAGUGGGGUGCUGACUGGUUGGUUGGUCAUUGACAGCUGGAGUUCAUUAUUUUGAUCCAUCACCAAAAAGAUUUUCGUCGGUGAAAAUGCAAAUGGAGAAGUUUUUAUUUUCGUAUCUGUCAUUCUAUGAUUAUGUCUUUUGAUAAAACAAAGUUUAAGGGCUACCUAAAAAAACAGAACAUGUGCAUCUAGAUUUGGUGGAUAGGUCACUCUAUUUAUUUUACGAUUUAAAAAUAUUUAUUUUAUUUAUUUAAUUUUAAAUUAAUAUUUUUUUAAUGUUUUUAGAUCAUUUUGAUAAACUGAUAUUAAAAAUAUUUCUUUUUUAAAUAAAUAUUUCCAAAUAAAAAAUAUUAUACUCACACUCUUGAACAUAAAAAAAAACCUACUCACAUGUUUAAAUUUUUUUUAAUAAAAAAAUGAAUACACAACGCUUUAUCUUUCCGUGUAAAUUCCACCCCCUCGAGUUAUUAAAAGUUGGAGUUUGAUUUUUAGGAUUUUAAAAGUUAAUUUUCAAUUUAUUUUUAUUUAAAAAACUUUAAAAAUAUUAUAGAAAAUUUUAAAAGAAAAAUAUUAUUUAAAGUGUAUUUGAGAUUGUCGUUAUAGUUGUUUUUAAAGUGUUUUUUAUUCAAAAAUAUAUCAAAAUAAUAUUUUUUUUAUUUUUUAAAAAUUAUUUUUAGUAUCAACGAAACAAAAUAAUCUAAAAAUAUUAUAAAAUAUUAAUUUAAAAUAAAAAAAUUUAAAUUUUGUCAAAAAUAUUUUUAGAACAGAAAAAUAAAUAAGGCUUUAAUCAUUUAAAACUCCAGAAAAUCCACGAUCAACAAAAUUAAUUCCUAAUAAGGGAAUGGCAUUCAAAAAAAUCAAAAAACAAACAUGAAGAAUGAUUUUUUUUUUAUUUUUUUUUUAAAAAAACAAAGCACGUUCAGAUGCACACACUUAGCACAAUCAAAAUUAGUGAACCAUACGUGUCAAAUUUGGCAACCUGAACAAUUUGUAUUCUUUCCUCCCUUCCGGCCUCCAGGUACCCUGAAAAUCCUCCCAACGUUGCCGUUUCACCUAUUCCCAUCGGAAACUUCCCUCUUUCUCAUAUUCCAGUUUAGUUUCGGCAUUUUUUAUUCACCAACCAGUCCAAUGGAUUUGUUCUCACUUAUCAAUCUGUUGAUGCUUCUCCUCUCCAGAAAGGAUAACGAUGUUUUCUUGAGUUUUAGCCACCACGACAUUGGCAAGAAUUUUGGCGAUCAUCUCUACAAGGACCUCAAUUCUGCUGGGAUUCGCACUCUUAGAGAUGAUGGUGGAAUCUACGCAGGACAAAAGUCUGAUAUCAAGAAAGCGUUACAGGAAUCCAGGAUAUCGGUUGUUGUGUUCUCUAAAGGCUAUGCUUCUUCAACAAAGUGCCUCGACCAGCUUGUGCACAUCAUGGAUGCCAGGAAUAAAACUAGGCUCCUUGUGCUUCCCGUUUUUUACAACGUUGAUCCGUCGGAGGUCAGUGAACAGAAAGGGUUGUUUGAAGAAGCAUUUGCUAAACACGAAAAAAGCUUCCAUAAGGAAAUGGCUAGAGUGGAAAGUUGGAGGGCCGCUCUUAAAGAAGCUGCAGACCUGGCAGGAAUGGUGCUGCAGCAAGACAGGUAUACAAGUAAUUGAAUAAUUGUUUUACCUUUUCAGAUCUUUGCCUUCCAGUUUUUUUCUGGAUAAUUUAACCUAGCAAUCAUCUAGAAAGGAAACACGAAUCUUAUCGAUUUAAAAUGGGUCAGUCUUAGCCUUUCAAUACCAGAUUUGAUUUGUUCUUGGUUCCAAAGGUUGCGCUGCACUUUGUUGUUGUGUUUAUUGAUUGUCAAGGAGUAAUCCCUAGGACUGAUCAUGCAUAUAAAAGAAAAAUAGGGACCACAAUGUAGAAAAAGCUCCCCUUGAACGCUACCAAAAAAAAGCAACUUUUUUAAUUUUUUUUUGUGUCAAUCUAAUCCUUUGUCUUUGAUUUUGUUUAAUUCAACCUUAUAAAUAAUGGUAUUUCGUAAUAGCAAUAUGUAAUAGCAAUAUAUAUAUAUAUAUAUUAAAAAACAAUUUUUCAUAGUGCAUACAAUAUAUAUAUAUAUAUAUUAAAAAACAAUUUUUCAUAGUGCAUACACGAAAGCAUACAUAAAAAACAAAUUAUAAAAUAAAAAAACUAUGCAACACAACCCUAUAAAUAAUUAUAUUUAGUAAUAGCAAUAUGUAAACAUGUAAAAUAAAAAACUAUGCAACACGACCCUAUAAACAAAACAAAACAAAUCCUAAAACAAAUUUUUUUUUACCAAAGAAAUAUAAUAAUAUAAAAAAGGGAAAAUUAUGAAAUUAAACACAAUUUUUUUUUUGUCUGUUUAAUAAAUAAUAUAGAAAAUUGAACAUGAACGAAGACUACGGCCGAACAUAUCAAACUUGGGCCGAGCACAUGAACGAAGACACUUUCUAAACAGAUUAAAAAACAAAACCCAACCUUUGGCCUUUCUUCUCUCUUUUUUCUUCCAACAAAGAAUCAAGUGAGAUCUGCAUCUCUUCCAACACAAAAAUCUUUGUUUCUUUCGACAUAUUUCUCUUCGUCAAACCGAUGGCUUUCAACCCAGUGACCCAAAUCUUAAUUCUUCUCUCGUUGAUGCCUAGUACUUACGAUGUGUUCUUGAGUUUCCGAGGCGAAGACACUCGCAGGAACUUCACCGACCACCUGUACAAAGCGUUAUCUAGAGAAGGGAUUCCCACUUUCAGAGACGACGAUGGAAUACGGAGAGGAGAGAACAUUGAGUCAGAAAUCAAUAAAGCAAUUCAAGAAACAAAACUAUCCAUUAUUGUGUUUUCUAAAAAGUACGCUUCUUCGAGAUGGUGUCUUGACGAGCUAGCGAUGAUCAUGGAACGUAGAACUGUUGGGCACAUAGUGUUUCCAGUUUUCUACGAUGUUGAUCCAUCUGAGGUGGGGACCCAAACAGGGAGGUAUGGUGAAGAGUUUGCUAAGCAUGAGAUACAUUUCAAGGACCGGGUGGAGG